UCGAACGGGAAACCUUUUAUUGAAGCUUCGGCAGAUUUAGCUGGUUUCUAGUGGCGGACGGGUGAGUAACGCGUGGGUAACCUGCCUUGUACAGGGGGAUAACAGUCAGAAAUGACUGCUAAUACCGCAUAAGCGCACAGGACCGCAUGGUCCGGUGUGAAAAACUCCGGUGGUAUAAGAUGGACCCGCGUUGGAUUAGCUUGUUGGUGGGGUAACGGCCCACCAAGGCGACGAUCCAUAGCCGGCCUGAGAGGGUGAACGGCCACAUUGGGACUGAGACACGGCCCAGACUCCUACGGGAGGCAGCAGUGGGGAAUAUUGCACAAUGGGGGAAACCCUGAUGCAGCGACGCCGCGUGAAGGAAGAAGUAUCUCGGUAUGUAAACUUCUAUCAGCAGGGAAGAAAAUGACGGUACCUGACUAAGAAGCCCCGGCUAACUACGUGCCAGCAGCCGCGGUAAUACGUAGGGGGCAAGCGUUAUCCGGAUUUACUGGGUGUAAAGGGAGCGUAGACGGAUGGACAAGUCUGAUGUGAAAGGCUGGGGCUCAACCCCGGGACUGCAUUGGAAACUGCCCGUCUUGAGUGCCGGAGAGGUAAGCGGAAUUCCUAGUGUAGCGGUGAAAUGCGUAGAUAUUAGGAGGAACACCAGUGGCGAAGG
rnacentral:rRNA from 1 species